UACGUAGGGGGCUAGCGUUGUCCGGAUUUAUUGGGCGUAAAGAGCGUGUAGGCGGCCAGGUAGGUCUGGUGUGAAAACUCGAGGCUUAACCUCGAGAUGUCAUCGGAAACCAUCUGGCUAGAGUCCGGAAGAGGAGAGUGGAAUUCCUGGUGUAGCGGUGAAAUGCGCAGAUAUCAGGAGGAACACCGGUGGCGAAGGCGGCAUCCUGGACCGGCAUUGACGCUGAGGCGCGAAAGCCAGGGGAGCAAACGGG
rnacentral:rRNA from 1 species